CAACCCCUCCUGAUCCACUCUGCUCAGAGGCAGAGCCUCUUAUGGGGAGGAGGGGAGCAGGCAGGGGCUUUCCCAUGAGUAUCUUGAAGCCUGCCCAGCCCUGCCUGGGUGAAGGAGCCUUCAGCAGCCAGAGGAAGGGGCUUGCUCAGAGCAGUGCGGUUCUUCGGGUGGAUUGAUGAGUUCCCAGACCAGCCAAAGACAUCCUGUGAUGCAGGGGAGCAGACAGGUGCGCCUUCCCUAACGAGCCAGGCCAGAUGGAGUGGCUGUCGGGCCAAUGCUCCCCACAAAGUGCAAAUGAACCUUUUAUGCCAAGGAGCCUUGGUGCCAAAUGGAAGGGGAGGGAAGAGAAGAGCGCACGACUGCGAGCUGAAAGAAGAGCUGUUAGCCACCUCAGUGCACUUGAUGACUUUGAACUCCUCCACCUAAGGCUGGCUGAUGAGCUGUGGGCUUCCCCGAGGAUGUGGAGAGGUGCUUGGUCUGCUGUGAUCUGUUCCUGGCCCAGAAGGACACUGGGAUGACUGGAGCGUGCCAGAGCCAGGUGAAUGAUGCCUGGGACUUCCCAGGCUAAGAGGCUGCUGGCAGACGUUGAGCUGCUGCUCUUGGCUUCCUGUGGCCUGCACCUGCCUGGCUGAUUGCUCCUGGGUGGAAGAUGUGCCUUGUUUAGAGUGCAAGUGGUGGAGUCAGGAGCUCAAGGUAAAGUGCAACACAACAAAACCAAUGUAAAAAUGAUCUGCAAGGAUGUGCUUGAUCUCUUAACAGAGAUCUGAGGCAGAUCUCUUAACAAUGCAGUUAAUGAUAUGCUGAGACCUACUCUGUGUAGGUAGGAUGCAGGAAAAGGCCGCCGUCUGCAGGAACGGUGGGACAUUUGUCAGCCCAGUGAGGCAGCAGGACAGAAUCUUCUUCCCGCAAAACCCAGCAAACAAAGUCGGCCGGGAGGAGGCCGGUCCAGUGGCACUUGACUUGGUGACCCAAGCAGUCGUCGCACAGCCUGGCCCUGGUGGAGCCCAUAGCAGAAGCCCAGAAGAGCAAAAGAAGCCUUUGCUCAUCAGAAAUCAGGAGCAGACAAACAAUGCAGGCAAGAAGCCUUAUCAGGCAGCCUUGUUGUUGAAGGAAAAUUAGAUUGAGUCGAAGAGACAAUGACUGAGGAAUUAAUUUUUUUUUCUGUCCUGUGAAUUUAGAUGAAGUGCAGCCUUUAUAUUCCUUCAGGGGAAGUCUCUUAAAUAACAUGAGCAAAAGGAGCCCUAAAAUAAAACGCUUGGAGAUGUAACACAACCGAAGGCAAGAAUUCUUCAUUAAGAACUUCAUUUAAAAUCAGAUGCAUCUAAGUAGUUUUGCCACCCUCCCAAAAGUUCAUUUUUCUUCGCACAGUGCUUUUCUGAAUGCAUAAAUCUUUAAUAAUCUAAUUUUCCAGUGGCCGAACGUGUACGCAAUUGGCUCUUGGUCCAAAGAGUACGUUCAAGUUAAAGCAGUUAUACUUGAAGACCUCGUGUUCUGAGGCCUGGAGUAAAGAAGUUUUCAGCAAAGCUGUAAUGAAACCUUUUUCAAUUGGUGCCCUUGGCUGUGGGUGGCUUUUUUUUUUGAGAUUAUUUUCUGAAGAAAACAGGUUUUUCCGAACCAAGGGCUUUUCUGAAGCAAUCGAGGAGAUGCUGUCACUGGGGUUUGCUGCUUCUUGCUGGAUCUGGAGGCACUGACAUUUUGUACAAAGCAAUAACUUUCUACCCAAGCCACUUUUCAGUGGAAAAUGUGGUGUUCUUUCUGUGAAAAAAA